CUUCUGCUCAGUUUUAGAUUGUGCUCUGCCUGUAGUUUUAGCAAGGGCAGCAGAGGACGUGAAGGAAGCAGUUCAGUCAGUGAUGAAUAUUUAACAUAACCAGCCGCCUUGGUCAGAUCAGUUCUUCUCUCUUCACAGUGGAGGAUGGUUGUUUACAAUGCAAACAAUUUCUGGUAAGCUUCUUAGCAUCCAAGUGCCUCUCUACAUACGUCAUGGACAAAUGUUAGUGAUUGGGUAAAAAUAAAAUCCACUACGCCUCCAGGAAGUAAUUCACCAGUCAAAGGUCCUCUAGAAUCUUAUUUGACAUUACAACUCUCAUGCUAAAUGUUGCGCUGAAGACACAGCAGAUAAAUAAGGGAGCACAUAAAGGCAUAUCUGCUGUUCACCUCAUUUGUAUUAUUUUCCGUCAGGGAUGAAAAGAGACGACAUUAAUAACAAGGUUAGUAUUUCUUUUCAGCCCUUUUCAUCUUCUCUCUUUGAGUAGCUGAUGUACCACCUUGUUGUUCCUCCCUUAGUCUGUAGUGAAAACUGCAUCUCAUAGUAAAACAAAGUGGAUAAAGAGCCAAAAUCAGUAUGGACAUGGAGAGGAAUUUAGUUCUCUGAAUAAAGUCACAUGCUGACUGCAAUCCAGUUGCUCUUUACAGGACCAACUUGGUGUUGCUGAAUAAAUAUUGUGGCGUUUUUCUAUCAUGAUA